rnacentral:tRNA from 1 species
GGACAGGUACCCAAGUGGCCAAAGGGGGCAGACUGUAAAUCUGCUGCACAUGUGCUUCAGAGGUUCAAAUCCUCUCCUGUCCA